rnacentral:rRNA from 1 species
ACCCGGACCAAGGAGUGCCAGAGGCGUGCGAGUCCUUGGGUUAUGCACGAGAUCCUGGGGCACAAUGAAAGUGAAGGGGACCACGCGUUCCCGAGGCGAGAGCCUGCCUGUGUUGCGGGGCCCAUCGUCGACCGAUCCCGGGCUGCUCUGCGGUGGGAUUCGAGUGGGAGCAUGCCUGUUGCGACCCGAAAGAUGGUGAACUAUGCCUGAAUAGGGCGAAGCCAGAGGAAACUCUGGUGGAAGCUCGCAGCGGUUCUGACGUGCAAAUCGAUCGUCAAAUUUGGGUAUAGGGGCGAAAGACUAAUCGAACCGUCUAGUAGCUGGUUCCCUCCGAAGUUUCCCCCAGGAUAGCUGGAGCCCGGUGCAGUUUUAUCAGGUAAAGCGAAUGAUUAGAGGUCUUGGGGUUGAAACAACCUCAACCUAUUCUCAAACUUUAAAUGGGUAAGAAGCUCGGCUUGCUCGGUUGAAGUCGGGCGUUGGAAUGCCGGGGCUCCUAGUGGGCCAUUUUUGGUAAGCAGAACUGGCGAUGCGGGAUGAACCGAACGCUGGGUUAAGGUGCCCGAAUCGACGCUCAUCAGAUCCCAUAAAAGGUGUUGGUUGAUCUAGACAGCAGGACGGUGGCCAUGGAAGUCGGAACCCGCUAAGGAGUGUGUAACAACU